GCCUGGCUGGCUCAAUCUGUAGGGCAUGGGACUCUUGAUCUCUGGGUCUUGAGUUCAAGCCCCAUGUUGGGCA
rnacentral:tRNA from 1 species